GGUUAAGCGACUAAGCGUACACGGUGGAUGCCCUGGCAGUCAGAGGCGAUGAAGGGCGUGCUAAUCUGCGAUAAGCGCCGGUAAGGUGAUAUGAACCGUUAUAACCGGCGAUACCCGAAUGGGGAAACCCAGUGUGACUCGUCACACUAUCAUUAACUGAAUCCAUAGGUUAAUGAGGCGAACCGGGGGAACUGAAACAUCUAAGUACCCCGAGGAAAAGAAAUCAACCGAGAUUCCCCCAGUAGCGGCGAGCGAACGGGGAGGAGCCCAGAGCCUGAAUCAGCAUGUGUGUUAGUGGAAGCGUCUGGAAAGGCGCGCGAUACAGGGUGACAGCCCCGUACACAAAAGCGCAUGUGCUGUGAGCUCGAUGAGUAGGGCGGGACACGUGGUAUCCUGUCUGAAUAUGGGGGGACCAUCCUCCAAGGCUAAAUACUCCUGACUGACCGAUAGUGAACCAGUACCGUGAGGGAAAGGCGAAAAGAACCCCGGCGAGGGGAGUGAAAAAGAACCUGAAACCGUGUACGUACAAGCAGUGGGAGCACAGGUUUACCUGUGUGACUGCGUACCUUUUGUAUAAUGGGUCAGCGACUUAUAUUCUGUAGCAAGGUUAACCGAAUAGGGGAGCCGCAGGGAAACCGAGUCUUAAUUGGGCGUUAAGUUGCAGGGUAUAGACCCGAAACCCGGUGAUCUAGCCAUGGGCAGGUUGAAGGUUGGGUAACACUAACUGGAGGACCGAACCGACUAAUGUUGAAAAAUUAGCGGAUGACCUGUGGCUGGGGGUGAAAGGCCAAUCAAACCGGGAGAUAGCUGGUUCUCCCCGAAAGCUAUUUAGGUAGCGCCUCGUGAAUUCAUCUCCGGGGGUAGAGCACUGUUUCGGCUAGGGGGCCAUCCCGGCUUACCAACCCGAUGCAAACUGCGAAUACCGGAGAAUGUUAUCACGGGAGACACACGGCGGGUGCUAACGUCCGUCGUGAAGAGGGAAACAACCCAGACCGCCAGCUAAGGUCCCAAAGUCAUGGUUAAGUGGGAAACGAUGUGGGAAGGCCCAGACAGCCAGGAUGUUGGCUUAGAAGCAGCCAUCAUUUAAAGAAAGCGUAAUAGCUCACUGGUCGAGUCGGCCUGCGCGGAAGAUGUAACGGGGCUAAACCAUGCACCGAAGCUGCGGCAGCGACGCUUAUGCGUUGUUGGGUAGGGGAGCGUUCUGUAAGCCUGCGAAGGUGGCCUGUGAGGGUUGCUGGAGGUAUCAGAAGUGCGAAUGCUGACAUAAGUAACGAUAAAGCGGGUGAAAAGCCCGCUCGCCGGAAGACCAAGGGUUCCUGUCCAACGUUAAUCGGGGCAGGGUGAGUCGACCCCUAAGGCGAGGCCGAAAGGCGUAGUCGAUGGGAAACGGGUUAAUAUUCCCGUACUUGGUGUUACUGCGAAGGGGGGACGGAGAAGGCUAUGUUGGCCGGGCGACGGUUGUCCCGGUUUAAGCGUGUAGGUGUGUGUUCCAGGUAAAUCCGGUUCACUUUAACACUGAGGCGUGAUGACGAGGCACUACGGUGCUGAAGCAACAAAUGCCCUGCUUCCAGGAAAAGCCUCUAAGCAUCAGGUAACAUCAAAUCGUACCCCAAACCGACACAGGUGGUCAGGUAGAGAAUACCAAGGCGCUUGAGAGAACUCGGGUGAAGGAACUAGGCAAAAUGGUGCCGUAACUUCGGGAGAAGGCACGCUGACACGUAGGUGAAGUGAUUUACUCACGGAGCUGAAGUCAGUCGAAGAUACCAGCUGGCUGCAACUGUUUAUUAAAAACACAGCACUGUGCAAACACGAAAGUGGACGUAUACGGUGUGACGCCUGCCCGGUGCCGGAAGGUUAAUUGAUGGGGUCAGCGCAAGCGAAGCUCCUGAUCGAAGCCCCGGUAAACGGCGGCCGUAACUAUAACGGUCCUAAGGUAGCGAAAUUCCUUGUCGGGUAAGUUCCGACCUGCACGAAUGGCGUAAUGAUGGCCAGGCUGUCUCCACCCGAGACUCAGUGAAAUUGAACUCGCUGUGAAGAUGCAGUGUACCCGCGGCAAGACGGAAAGACCCCGUGAACCUUUACUAUAGCUUGACACUGAACAUUGAGCCUUGAUGUGUAGGAUAGGUGGGAGGCUUUGAAGUGUGGACGCCAGUCUGCAUGGAGCCGACCUUGAAAUACCACCCUUUAAUGUUUGAUGUUCUAACGUGGACCCGUAAUCCGGGUUGCGGACAGUGUCUGGUGGGUAGUUUGACUGGGGCGGUCUCCUCCUAAAGAGUAACGGAGGAGCACGAAGGUUGGCUAAUCCUGGUCGGACAUCAGGAGGUUAGUGCAAUGGCAUAAGCCAGCUUGACUGCGAGCGUGACGGCGCGAGCAGGUGCGAAAGCAGGUCAUAGUGAUCCGGUGGUUCUGAAUGGAAGGGCCAUCGCUCAACGGAUAAAAGGUACUCCGGGGAUAACAGGCUGAUACCGCCCAAGAGUUCAUAUCGACGGCGGUGUUUGGCACCUCGAUGUCGGCUCAUCACAUCCUGGGGCUGAAGUAGGUCCCAAGGGUAUGGCUGUUCGCCAUUUAAAGUGGUACGCGAGCUGGGUUUAGAACGUCGUGAGACAGUUCGGUCCCUAUCUGCCGUGGGCGCUGGAGAACUGAGGGGGGCUGCUCCUAGUACGAGAGGACCGGAGUGGACGCAUCACUGGUGUUCGGGUUGUCAUGCCAAUGGCACUGCCCGGUAGCUAAAUGCGGAAGAGAUAAGUGCUGAAAGCAUCUAAGCACGAAACUUGCCCCGAGAUGAGUUCUCCCUGAGACUUAGAGUCUCCUGAAGGAACGUUGAAGACGACGACGUUGAUAGGCCGGGUGUGUAAGCGCAGCGAUGCGUUGAGCUAACCGGUACUAAUGAACCGUGAGGCUUAACCUU
rnacentral:rRNA from 1 species